UACGAGAGGUCCAAACGUUAUUCGGAAUCACUGGGCUUACAGAGUUCGUAGGCGGUCCAGAAAGUGGGGUGUGAAAGCCCUCGGCUCAACCGAGGAACUGCGCUCCAAACUACUGGGCUAGAGGAAGAUAGAGGUGAGCAGAACUGAUGGUGGAGCGGUGAAAUGCGUUGAUAUCAUCAGGAAUACCGGAGGCGAAGGCGGCUCACUGGGUCUUUUCUGACGCUGAGGAACGAAAGCUAGGAGAGCAAACGGG
rnacentral:rRNA from 1 species